rnacentral:ncRNA from 1 species
CUCUGGGUCCAUCAGUCGGCUCAGGGCAGAAAGAG